GUAGGCGGCUAUGUAAGUCGGACGUGAAAUCCCGGGGCUCAACCCCGGAACUGCGUCCGAUACUGCCAUGCUUUGAGGGUUGGAGAGGUAGCUGGAAUUCUUGGUGUAGCAGUGAAAUGCGUGGAUAUCAAGAGGAACACUCGUGGCGAAAGCGAGCUACUGGACAACACCUGACGCUGAGGCUCGAAGGCCAGGGGAGCGAAAGGGAUUAGAUACCCCUGUAGUCCUGGCAGUAAACGGUGCACGCUUGGUGUGCGGGGAAUCGACCCCCUGCGUGCCGGAGCAAACGCGUUAAGUGUGCCGCCUGGGGAGUACGGUCGCAAGAUUAAAACUCAAAGAAAUUGACGGGGACCCGCACAAGCGGUGGAGUAUGUGGCUUAAUUCGAUGCAACGCGAAGAACCUUACCUGGGCUUGACAUGUAAUGAACAACAUGUGAAAGCAUGCGACUCUUCGGAGGCGUUACACAGGUGCUGCAUGGCCGUCGUCAGCUCGUGUCGUGAGAUGUUUGGUUAAGUCCAGCAACGAGCGCAACCCCUGUUGCCAGUUACCAGCACGUGAAGGUGGGGACUCUGGCGAGACUGCCCAGAUCAACUGGGAGGAAGGUGGGGACGACGUCAGGUCAGUAUGGCCCUUAUGCCCAGGGCUGCACACGUACUACAAUGCCCAGUACAGAGGGGGCCGAAGCCGCGAGGCGGAGGAAAUCCUGAAAACUGGGCCCAGUUCGGACUGUAGGCUGCAACCCGCCUACACGAAGCCGGAAUCGCUAGUAAUGGCGCAUCAGCUACGGCGCCGUGAAUACGUUCCCGGGUCUUGUACACACCGCCCGUCACAUCAUGGAAGCCGGUUUCACCCGAAGUGCCUGUAUCAACCGCAAGGAGACAGGGCCCUAAGGUGUAGCUGGUAACUGGGAUGAAGUCGUAACAAGGUAGCCGUAGGGGAACCUGCGGCUG
rnacentral:rRNA from 1 species